AAUCAACGCUGGCGGCGUGCCUCAGACAUGCAAGUCGAACGCGAAAGUUCCCUUCGGGGAAUAAGUAGAGUGGCGCACGGGUGAGUAACACGUAGGUAAUCUACCUUCGGGUGGGGAAUAACCCAGGGAAACUUGGGCUAACACCGCAUGAUGCAGCGGCACCACAUGGUGACAGUUGUUAAAGCGGGGGAUUUUCGGACCUCGCGCCUGAAGAGGAGCCUGCGGCGGAUUAGCUAGUUGGUGAGGUAACGGCUCACCAAGGUGACGAUC
rnacentral:rRNA from 1 species